AUCCUUUUGUAGUUCAUACACGUGACAAAGGGGUUUCCACACACAUGUGUGAGAUGUGGCCCCUUCAAACCUCGUUACUAUGUCGGCAGAUUACUUGUCUGACA
ensembl:snoRNA